AACGAACGCUGGCGGCAUGCCUAACACAUGCAAGUCGAACGAGACCUUCGGGUCUAGUGGCGCACGGGUGCGUAACGCGUGGGAACCUGCCCUUAGGUUCGGAAUAACUCCCCGAAAGGGGUGCUAAUACCGGAUAAUGUCUUCGGACCAAAGAUUUAUCGCCUUUGGAUGGGCCCGCGUUGGAUUAGCUAGUUGGUAGGGUAAAAGCCUACCAAGGCGACGAUCCAUAGCUGGUUUGAGAGGAUGAUCAGCCACACUGGGACUGAGACACGGCCCAGAAUCCUACGGGAGGCAGCAGUGGGGAAUAUUGGAAAAUGGGCGAAAGCCUGAUCCAGCAAUGCCGGGUGAGUGAUGAAGGCCUUAGGGUUGUAAAGCUCUUUUACCCGGGAUGAUAAUGACAGUACCGGGAGAAUAAGCUCCGGCUAACUCCGUG
rnacentral:rRNA from 1 species